GCAAAGGCUAUGAAGAGGAAUAGUAAUUAAUGAGCUGUACCAAGAGAGAUGUCGGAAGGUGCGAGACAUCAGAUGCAGGUUAAUGAACUCGCCCCGGAGCUUCCGGCUGAAAACGUCAAGUAGGUCAGGACGGAAAUCCACCGUUAAAAGGAAGGGAUGUGAAUGCAUCCUAUGAGAGUGUGUAUUUAUUACAUGAAACAGAGUGGUACCGCGCAAGUAAAGCUUACGUCUCUGUG
rnacentral:ncRNA from 1 species